rnacentral:rRNA from 1 species
GAUGAACGCUGGCGGCGUGCCUAAUACAUGCAAGUCGAGCGAAUGGAUUAAGAGCUCGCUCUUACGAAGUUAGCGGCGGACGGGUGAGUAACACGUGGGUAACCUGCCCAUAAGACUGGGAUAACUCCGGGAAACCGGGGCUAAUACCGGAUAACAUUUUGAACCGCAUGGUUCGAAAUUGAAAGGCGGCUUCGGCUGUCACUUAUGGAUGGACCCGGGUCGCAUUAGCUAGUUGGUGAGGUAACGGCUAACCAAGGCAACGAUGCGGAGCCGACCUGAGAGGGUGAUCGGCCACACUGGGACUGAGACACGGCCCAGACUCCUACGGGAGGCAGCAGUAGGGAAUCUUCCGCAAUGGACGAAAGUCUGACGGAGCAACGCCGCGUGAGUGAUGAAGGCUUUCGGGUCGUAAAACUCUGUUGUUAGGGAAGAACAAGUGCUAGUUGAAUAAGCUGGCACCUUGACGGUACCUAACCAGAAAGCCACGGCUAACUACGUGCCAGCAGCCGCCGUAA